UUUUAAUAUUUGAUUAAUAAUCAUUUUGUACUGUGAAACCAGCAAUUUUAUAAAUAAAGUUUUGAAUUCAAAUAUGCUUUGUCUCACAGGAAACCGUGACGUUUUUGCAAUCGCUUCCCGUGCAUGAUAAUGACAAAACCAAAGGAAAAGCCAUGUCCUCACUGCCAAUCCAAAAACAACGCCAGCUGCAAAACCUGCAAAAAAUGUUUUGCUAGUUUAAUUCUCAAAAAAAAAAUUAAGGCAAAACAAAAAAAUAUAGAAGACAGUUCAUGGAGGUCCACCACCCAAAAACACCGCAAUGCUGCUCGUGUGGUGGAUUCUGCCCGCAUUGCUGUUAAGAAAUUGGAGGUACUAGGCUAUAAGCCGAUUUUGUUCUACUCAAGAGAGCAAAAAAAGGGAUUUACAGCCGAAGUGAUUACUUCAGUGGGUCCCUGUGCUGAGGGGCCACUUCGAAACAUAAUGGACAAAAUGACUGGCCUCUAUGAAUAUUUCAUUAAAAAUUAUCAAAGGCUUCAGAUCCACACUGCUGCUGAAUCGGAUCCUGAUGUUUGCCAGCCCCAGACUUCCUCUCCUCCUCCUCC